rnacentral:rRNA from 1 species
AUUGAACGCUGGCGGCAUGCCUUACACAUGCAAGUCGAACGGCAGCGGGGGAGAAGCUUGCUUUUCCUGCCGGCGAGUGGCGAACGGGUGAGUAAUACAUCGGAACGUGCCCUGUAGUGGGGGAUAACUAGUCGAAAGAUUAGCUAAUACCGCAUACGACCUGAGGGUGAAAGGGGGGGACCGCAAGGCCUCAUGCUAUAGGUGCGGCCGAUGUCUGAUUAGCUAGUUGGUGGGGUAAAGGCCUACCAAGGCGACGAUCAGUAGCUGGUCUGAGAGGACGAUCAGCCACACUGGGACUGAGACACGGCCCAGACUCCUACGGGAGGCAGCAGUGGGGAAUUUUGGACAAUGGGCGAAAGCCUGAUCCAGCAAUGUCGCGUGUGUGAAGAAGGCCUUCGGGUUGUAAAGCACUUUUGUCCGGAAAGAAAUGGCUCUGGUUAAUACCUGGGGUCGAUGACGGUACCGGAAGAAUAAGGACCGGCUAACUACGUGCCAGCCGCCGCAGUAA